GGAUUGUGGUUCAGUGGCAGAGUGCUUGUUUCGCACAUAUGAGGCACUGGGUUCAAUCCUCACCACCA
rnacentral:tRNA from 1 species